rnacentral:rRNA from 1 species
AUUGAACGCUGGCGGCAGGCUUAACACAUGCAAGUCGAGCGGAGUGAUGGUGCUUGCACUAUCACUUAGCGGCGGACGGGUGAGUAAUGCUUAGGAAUCUGCCAUUUAGUGGGGGACAACAUUCCGAAAGGAAUGCUAAUACCGCAUACGUCCUACGAGAGAAAGCAGGGGAUCUUCGGACCUUGCGCUAAAUGAUGAGCCUAAGUCGGAUUAGCAAGUUGGUGGGGUAAUGGCUCACCAAGGCGGCGAUCCGUAACUGGUCUGAGAGGAUGAUCAGUCACACUGGAACUGAGACACGGUCCAGACUCCUACGGGAGGCAGCAGUGGGGAAUAUUGGACAAUGGGCGAAAGCCUGAUCCAGCCAUGCCGCGUGUGUGAAGAAGGUCUUCGGAUUGUAAAGCACUUUAAGUUGGGAGGAAGGGCAGUAAGCUAAUACCUUGCUGUUUUGACGUUACCGACAGAAUAAGCACCGGCUAACUCUGUGCCAGCCGCCGCGGUAAUAC